rnacentral:rRNA from 1 species
AUACCAUGGACCUCGAUCUUCGCAGAAGAUGCAAUCCUUUUCUUCUCCCCAUCGACGAUUGACCUGCAUAUUGUCGAAGGGAUUCUUAAGCUCUUUGGCGAAGCCACGGGGCUGCAUAUCAAUUUCCAGAAAACCUCUGUCACCGGCAUUCGUUGCAGUGAGGAUCAAAUGGUGUCUGUGGCGAACCGACUCCGGUGCAAAUUGCAACACUUCCCCUUCAACUACCGGGCUGCCACUAUCGAUUUAUAG